AUCAACACCACCACCUUACAUUCUAUGUCAUCACCUCAGGUAAAGUUUGGAUAAUUACUUUAUGCACUUACAUCGUUCUUUUCUUUUCAUAGCGGAAUAAGUCACAUAAUAUAGAAUUAGUGUUGUAUAAUACCUCUUUGUUUGUUCAGCUUAUGCGAGAUGUUCUUUACGAUGCCCCACAUUAUAUUGAAUAUGUGAUGUUUUUUAAUAUAGGAUUGAAUCCAUGAUUUUAUGAGGAAUUCUUAAUUUCAAAUAUGUAGUUGGAUGGUAGUGGAUCUUCUGUUACUUGCAUAGGCUGAUUUUUAAGCAUUCUUUGAUUUUGUUUUUAUGACCUUUCAGAUUCGUUUUUCUUGCUUUGAUUAUUUACUCUCUUUACCAUGCCUUUUCAGCCUAUUUAGCUUCUCUUUUCUAGUGCCUUUGCUUUGAUAUUUUUUUUUAUCACAUCUUGUU